rnacentral:rRNA from 1 species
GAAUGACUCUCGGCAACGGAUAUCUAGGCUCUUGCAUCGAUGAAGAACGUAGCGAAAUGCGAUACUUGGUGUGAAUUGCAGAAUCCCGUGAACCAUCGAGUCUUUGAACGCAAGUUGCGCCCGAUGCCACUAGGUUGAGGGCACGUCUGCCUGGGCGUCACAUA